rnacentral:rRNA from 1 species
GAGUUUGAUCAUGGCUCAGAUUGAACGCUGGCGGCAGGCCUAACACAUGCAAGUCGAGCGGAUGACAGGAGCUUGCUCCUUGAUUCAGCGGCGGACGGGUGAGUAAUGCCUAGGAAUCUGCCUGGUAGUGGGGGACAACGUUUCGAAAGGAACGCUAAUACCGCAUACGUCCUACGGGAGAAAGCAGGGGACCUUCGGGCCUUGCGCUAUCAGAUGAGCCUAGGUCGGAUUAGCUAGUUGGUGGGGUAAUGGCUCACCAAGGCGACGAUCCGUAACUGGUCUGAGAGGAUGAUCAGUCACACUGGAACUGAGACACGGUCCAGACUCCUACGGGAGGCAGCAGUGGGGAAUAUUGGACAAUGGGCGAAAGCCUGAUCCAGCCAUGCCGCGUGUGUGAAGAAGGUCUUCGGAUUGUAAAGCACUUUAAGUUGGGAGGAAGGGCAGUAAGCUAAUACCUUGCUGUUUUGACGUUACCGACAGAAUAAGCACCGGCUAACUCUGUGCCAGCAGCCGCGGUAAUACAGAGGGUGCAAGCGUUAAUCGGAAUUACUGGGCGUAAAGCGCGCGUAG